rnacentral:snoRNA from 1 species
GAUCAAUGAGGAAAGCUAUCCCUAAACGGAUUACCUGAUGAAAAGUAUGUACGGAUUCGGCUUCUGAGAU